UCCCAAUUAUUUUAAUUGCACAUUUUUUUCAAAGAUUGUUUCAUGCGCGUUCAAUUAUUUUCAUUACGUUCUAUGCCGAGGAAUAUUGGUAUGACAACAAAAGAAAAGAUAUUAAAUAUCAUUUGUGUCUAAAAAUAUAAAAUAUAAUACUUGGCUGACCUGUUUGUGCAGACGAGUUAAUUUUGGGAUCUACUUUGAGAACCGCAAUUAUAUACGAUGCAGAUGAAGAGGCCUAUAGAUGCUCCCUUUCACUGUUUUCCACGCUUUGGCAGUCACGAAUGUACCUACUUAACUUUAUUUCACUUUCGAAUCGAUAUCGAGACAUCGGCUUUGUAAACAGCUGGCAGUCGACCAGAACAACCUCGUGAAUUGCAAUUUAAAUCAGUGAAUAUAUUCCGCGAAAAAAUUAGCAUUUUUCGUGCUAUAUAAUAUUUCAAUGUCGCUAUGUAACUUCCAAUAAAGGGCAGAACGAGAAUGA